AAUUUAUCAAAAUGUUCUCGUUCACUCCUUGUGACCCACAGUCGACUUACAGAGCUGGUGAAAGCAUUUUCCUUUGCUGAUCUCUAGCCCAAGGAUACAAAAAUCCUUCAGCUCUUCAUCACAAUCAUCUCUCCUUAUCUCUUGUUAAAGAAAGCUAAUGCUCUGCAAAUGUCUGUAUGGAUGCAUCCCUUCCAUCUGCAUGUGGUUUUGGAAAAAACACAGGCCGUCUCAACAACCAUCUUGAAGAACCUGCA